AUAUAUACAUAUUUGGAGGGGAGACCAGGGAGUAACCAAAUUAACAGGGAUCUAAAAUUGCCAUUAACUAAAUGUGACUUUGAGCGUGUUUUAUGUUUUCAAUCUUUCCAACCCAAAGCCUUAGUUUUAUUCUCUGUAAAUUAUCAUAAAUUCUUGCCACACAGCAUUGUUAUGACUUGAAAUAAUGUGGAAGCACCUAGCACAUAACACUUGACAAAACUAUUGUGUGUGUGUGCUCUUGGAGCUGUGGGGUGUGUAUACACAGUCUUUUCUCUCCCUAGUUGUUCUCUAAGCCUUCCCUAUGUGCAGACAGAGCAAUAAACACAGCUCAGAGUGCAACCGCUUAUAUUUCUCCAUCAGUUAGUCUUCAUGGUCACAUGAACAAUCUAAACAUAGAAUUAAUCAUUUAAAAAUCCUUGAGCUUCCUCAUGGCACAAGUUAGCUACAAUGAUUUUUUUCCUGAGAUUUUUAAUUAUGAAUUUUGAGAACCAGUGCUGUUCCUUGCCUUCAAAAGAACUGCUAUUUGUUGUAACAGCUGCUAAGGAAACAAGGGCAAUGAAUGUCCCAAAGCGGGCUGGCACCGCAGUCCGGGCUCAGCCGUGGGCAGAUGGACACGCUAAUGGGACUGUGAUGGACGCCAUCAAUUGGCACUUCGGGUCCCCCCUUCCGCUGGAGGGGCUCGCUCGGCCAGCGACUCCGCACAAUAGCUCCCCGAUCGCCUUUCUUCAAAGGUUUACCGGAGACCGAGUCAGGGCGCCCUGGUCAGCCUGCUCUAGGCGCAGGGCAGGCCUUUCCUCUGGCGCCGCUGGUCUCACCCUAGCCCCGGCCCUCCUCCAGCUCCAGGCCCAGCUCUCAAGUGUGCUGUGUAAAUGCCCUCACUGGGCUUUCCCGGCAACAUCGGUGGCCAGGAAGGGCAACUCAUUCUCUGAGAACUGUGACUGGACAGACCUGACCCUUUGGACAUAAUCCUACGAAGUCUUCAAGGAAGUGCCACGUGGUAACCUGGUCACCCCAACCCCACAGUCCCUCUGAACUGAUUGUUAUUUGACUGAGGCUGGAACCACCUUGAAGAGGUCCACAUCUUCUGAAGGAAACAGCCCGCUGUGCUGAAACUGGCAGACAUCAAGUGACAGUUCUGCUGUGCAGGGAUGUGAAAGGUAUCUGUGGAGGGACGGUGGAGGGGCACUGCUACUCCUUCAGACAACUGCAAUAGGGAAUGCAAAUGCCCAAGGACUGGGAGAGAACAAGUAAGCCUCAAAGCAGAGAACAGGAGGAGCUGGGAAGGAGAACGAAGGGGAAAGGGCAAGACUUGGUUUGGAAUGAGGUGAGAGAUCAAGGGACCCUUGAGAGAAGGCACCAGCUUUUGAUACGUUUAAGUAUUAAGAGAUAUGGUAGGCUGUUUGUGUCCACUUAUUUUAUUAAUUUAAACUUAAUAAAUUUGCAUGGUUCAAAACGAAAUAGAUUUAAAAA